AUUCGUCGACAACAGAGUUUGAUCCUGGCUCAGGACGAACGCUGGCGGCGUGCCUAAUACAUGCAAGUCGAGCGAAUCGGAGGGAGCUUGCUCCCAAAGAUUAGCGGCGGACGGGUGAGUAACACGUGGGCAACCUGCCUGUAAGACUGGGAUAACUUCGGGAAACCGGAGCUAAUACCGGAUAAUCCUUUUCCUCUCAUGAGGAAAAGCUGAAAGACGGUUUCGGCUGUCACUUACAGAUGGGCCCGCGGCGCAUUAGCUAGUUGGUGAGGUAACGGCUCACCAAGGCAACGAUGCGUAGCCGACCUGAGAGGGUGAUCGGCCACACUGGGACUGAGACACGGCCCAGACUCCUACGGGAGGCAGCAGUAGGGAAUCUUCCGCAAUGGACGAAAGUCUGACGGAGCAACGCCGCGUGAGCGAAGAAGGCCUUCGGGUCGUAAAGCUCUGUUGUCAGGGAAGAACAAGUGCCGGAGUAACUGCCGGCACCUUGACGGUACCUGACCAGAAAGCCACGGCUAACUACGUGCCAGCAGCCGCGGUAAUACGUAGGUGGCAAGCGUUGUCCGGAAUUAUUGGGCGUAAAGCGCGCGCAGGCGGUCCUUUAAGUCUGAUGUGAAAGCCCACGGCUCAACCGUGGAGGGUCAUUGGAAACUGGGGGACUUGAGUGCAGAAGAGGAGAGUGGAAUUCCACGUGUAGCGGUGAAAUGCGUAGAGAUGUGGAGGAACACCAGUGGCGAAGGCGACUCUCUGGUCUGUAACUGACGCUGAGGCGCGAAAGUGUGGGGAGCGAACAGGA
rnacentral:rRNA from 1 species